AGAGUUUGAUCAUGGCUCAGAGCGAACGCUGGCGGCAGGCUUAACACAUGCAAGUCGAGCGGGCGUAGCAAUACGUCAGCGGCAGACGGGUGAGUAACGCGUGGGAACAUACCUUUUGGUUCGGAACAACACAGGGAAACUUGUGCUAAUACCGGAUAAGCCCUUACGGGGAAAGAUUUAUCGCCGAAAGAUUGGCCCGCGUCUGAUUAGCUAGUUGGUGAGGUAACGGCUCACCAAGGCGACGAUCAGUAGCUGGUCUGAGAGGAUGAUCAGCCACAUUGGGACUGAGACACGGCCCAAACUCCUACGGGAGGCAGCAGUGGGGAAUAUUGGACAAUGGGCGCAAGCCUGAUCCAGCCAUGCCGCGUGAGUGAUGAAGGCCCUAGGGUUGUAAAGCUCUUUUGUGCGGGAAGAUAAUGACGGUACCGCAAGAAUAAGCCCCGGCUAACUUCGUGCCAGCAGCCGCGGUAAUACGAAGGGGGCUAGCGUUGCUCGGAAUCACUGGGCGUAAAGGGUGCGUAGGCGGGUCUUUAAGUCAGGGGUGAAAUCCUGGAGCUCAACUCCAGAACUGCCUUUGAUACUGAGGAUCUUGAGUACGGGAGAGGUGAGUGGAACUGCGAGUGUAGAGGUGAAAUUCGUAGAUAUUCGCAAGAACACCAGUGGCGAAGGCGGCUCACUGGCCCGUUACUGACGCUGAGGCACGAAAGCGUGGGGAGCAAACAGGAUUAGAUACCCCGGUAGUCC
rnacentral:rRNA from 1 species